rnacentral:rRNA from 1 species
AUACGUAGGUGACAAGCGUUAUCCGGAUUUACUGGGCGUAAAGGGCGUGUAGGCGGUCUUGCAAGUCAGAAGUGAAAUUCCUGAGCUCAACUCGGGCGCUGCUUCUGAAACUGCAGGACUUGAGUGCUGGAGGGGAUAGCGGAAUUCCUAGUGGAGCGGUAAAAUGCGCAGAUAUUAGGAAGAACACCGGUGGCGAAGGCGGCUAUCUGGACAGUAACUGACGCUGAGGCGCGAAAGCGUGGGGAGAAAACAGGAUUAGAUACCCUGGUAGUCCACGCCGUAAACGAAGAAUACUAGGUGUAGGGGGUAUCGACUCCCUCUGUGCCGCAGUUAACACAAUAAGUAUUCCGCCUGGGGAGUACGGCCGCAAGGUUGAAACUCAAAUGAAUUGACGGGG